AUACUUACCUGGACGGGGUCAAUGGGCGAUCAAGAAGACUCAUGGCCUGGUGUAGUGACCUCCAUUGCACUGGGGUGGGGUGCUGCUCUAAGGUCUCCCCAAGUGGGAGAGCCUACGUCGUUAUUUGUUGCUGAGGGGGCUUGCGUUCGCGCAGCCCCCGU